ensembl:snRNA U6 U6 spliceosomal RNA
CUUGCUUCGGCAACACAUACUGAAACUGGAACAAUACAGAGAAGAUUAGCACAGCCCCUGUGCAAGGAUGAUGCGCAAAUCCGUGAAGCGUCCCUUAUUUUA